GGAAGAGACGCACCCGUUGGUCCCCGCCUUUGAACGCCUUCAAGCCCUCAAAGAGCUGUGGGGACAGGAACUUUGGCCCCAGCCCUGAGAUAAGCUCAGAUGAGAAGACGACAGGGAAGGUGCACAGAUAAGUGAAGACCUCCCAGGACCCAACCCCUGAAAAGCCUUAGAAAGCCCUGCAGGGAAACAGCUGGAUGAGCUGGCACCAAUAAGUGAGAAUGGAUAUGAAUGACACCAGUCAUGGGUCAGCAGAUUUUUGAAAACUCUGCUGUUUGAUAUCAUAUCAGUAAGAAUGGAUCAUCUCUUGCCUGGAGGAACUAUGUCAUUUUGACAAAAAGAACUUGCCUCAAUUUCCAAUCCAGGUGCACACUUCAAAUAAGUAGUUUUGGAGACACAUCACUCCCACCUAGCCUUUAUCUACCUUUAGUUUCAAGAAAAUAGAACCUUGGAUGCAAUUCCCA